rnacentral:rRNA from 1 species
UACGGAGGGUGCGAGCGUUAUCCGGAUUUACUGGGUUAAAGGGUGUGUAGGCGGACUGUUAAGUCAGUGGUGAAAUCCCGGGGCUCAACCCCGGAACUGCCAUUGAUACUAUCAGUCUUGAAUACUGUGGAGGUGAGCGGAAUGUGUCAUGUAGCGGUGAAAUGCUUAGAGAUGACACAGAACACCGAAUUGCGAAGGCAGCUCACUACGCAGUUAUUGACGCUGAGGCACGAAAGCGUGGGGAUCAAACAGG